rnacentral:rRNA from 1 species
CUGGCGGCGUGCCUAACACAUGCAAGUCGAACGGACGAGGGGAGCUUGCUCCCCAAGUUAGUGGCGGACGGGUGAGUAACACGUGAGCAACCUGCCCUUCGGAGGGGGACAACAGCGGGAAACUGCUGCUAAUACCGCAUAAUGUAUCCUGGAGGCAUCUCCGGGAUACCAAAGAUUUUAUCGCCGAAGGAUGGGCUCGCGUCUGAUUAGAUAGUUGGUGGGGCAACGGCCCACCAAGUCUGCGAUCAGUAGCCGGACUGAGAGGUUGAACGGCCACAUUGGGACUGAGAUACGGCCCAGACUCCUACGGGAGGCAGCAGUGGGGAAUAUUGGGCAAUGGGGGGCAACCCUGACCCAGCAACGCCGCGUGGAGGAAGAAGGCUUUCGGGUUGUAAACUCCUUUGACGAGGGACGAUGAUGACGGUACCUCGAAAACAAGCCACGGCUAACUACGUGCCAGCCGCGGC